CGGGGCGGGCAGGGCUGGGUGACCAGGGUCUGGCGGGGGCGCGUCUCUUCCCUGGGGUUGUGUUUCUGGGGCUGAAGGCCCCCCAGUGUGAAGGUGCUUCGAGCUGAUACUGAGGCCUUGUUUUGCUUUUGUGUUGGGGUGUUGGGGUGGUGGUGGUUCUAUCUCCCUCCAGAGCGGGGAGCAGCCCCUCCGCUCUCAGGCGCUCAGUCCAGCCCUCAGUCUGGACUCUCAGCGCCCCGGGGCAUUGUUCCUCCGUGCGUUCAGGAGGCCAUUGGACCCGCUGGCUUCUGAGGCUCAUUUCCUUACAUUUCCCCUGCAUGCACCCUAUGCGUUUUGUCCCCUGAUCACCCAGCCCGGUUAGCUCCAACCCGGGACAGAGUGCCCUGUCCAAACCCGGGCCACAGGAUGGUGGCGGAGGGAGACGGGAAAUGGGUUGGUAGGGUCCCUGGUCGAGGCCCAGGCCUCCCACUCGUGUCCUGGUGAGGGCGUGGGUUCGUGCGGUCUGUCGUUUAGAUCUCUUCAUUUGGCGGUCACAUUUGUCCGUGCAUAUUUUUGAACACCUGUCACGGACUUGUGAAGUUCUGUGUGCGGUUUACUUAAUAGUCAAGCAAGCAGCUUUUACCAGCCGUAAACUGGUAAACCUUGAACCUGUUUGGUUCUUCAGUGGUCUCCCUGAAUCUAAUUUUAAUUUUGGCACUUGAUGGAGUCGUCUGUUUUUCUUUAUAACUUCACGAAGUCCCUCUUUUCCUAGGCUGUUUCUUCUGCUUUGUUACUUACGGGCUUAACACAUGUUAACACUGCAGUCUAAACCGAAUUUGUAUUUGGACCGGUUCCAUGAGGAAGCAACACGUCUUUCCAAAUAACGUGGUUUUUCAGCUUCCCCAUUUGUUUUUCUACACUGCAGUCCAGUGUGAAAGCUGUCAGAGGUGUGUUUGGCCAUCCAGGCUAGGAUAGCACAGAUGAAGCCGGCUGCAGAGUUAAUAGGAAAUUUAUUUCUCCCGGGGACCUGGUGCGGUUGUGAAAUGUCAUCGUGACUCCCUCGGCAGUCUCCUGCUUUCUGAUUCACCGAGAAGCCUCGAUCUAGAAAAUUACAGACUACGAGACACUUUCCUGUUUGAAACGUUAUCAGUAAGAAUGAAGCAUCCCACUCUUGCCUGGAGAAUCUAAGUCCCUUUGAUCCAGAGAAGCACUCUAUCUGGAUUUCCAGCCCGGGCGCAGAACUUCAGAUUCGGAGUUCUGAACACGACAUUCCACGUUUAUCUUAACUUUGUGGUUUCCAAGGAGACAGGAGCCUGGAUCUAAUCUACUUCGUAGUCUGGACCUGAUGUUGCCCCUUUUAGACACAGCUCAGCUCAUUUUGAGUCUCUCAAAACACUUUCAUUUAAAUUUCACCCAAAUUCCACCCUUGCCCCAAAUCCUGCAACAAUUAUUUUUUGGUGGUGGUGGUGAGACACCCCUGCGAGUGCAAUCCUCCCCCCCCUCCCCCCCCCAAGCAGUGAGUCAAUAAACUUGGCUUUGUUGAACUACU